UGAGUAACACGUAUCCAACCUGCCGUCUACUCUUGGCCAGCCUUCUGAAAGGAAGAUUAAUCCAGGAUGGCAUCAUGAGUUCACAUGUCCGCAUGAUUAAAGGUAUUUUCCGAUAGACGAUGGGGAUGCGUUCCAUUAGAUAGUAGGCGGGGUAACGGCCCACCAAGCCUUCGAUGGAUAGGGGUUCUGAGAGGAAGGUCCCCCACAUUGGAACUGAGACACGGUCCAA
rnacentral:rRNA from 1 species